GUACUUACCUGGACGGGGUCUACGAGCGAUCAAGAAGGCUCGUGGCCUAGGCUCAGUGGCCUCCAUUGCACUUUGGAGGAGUGCUGGCUUAUAGUCUCCCCAAGUGGGAGAGCUAACGUCAUAAUUUGUUGUAGCGGGGGCCUGCGUUCGCGCGGCCCCUAC